AAAAAGUGAAUGGGAUGGAUUUAAUGCUCUCGUUCACUUCCUUCUCACUUUAUGCCGUUUCCGUCGAUCUCGCCUUUAGAAGUUCAUACCUUACCAAAUCCAUCUCAUUCACUUUAGAAAGCAUAAUUCGUCGAUCACUUCCUUCUCCUUACCAAAUCCGUUGAUUGAUGCUUCAAAUUUAGAAAACAUAAAGUUGUCAUGGCCGAUUAAUGGAGUUAAUGGAGUCGCCACUGGCGGAGAUUUCGUUGGAUUGGUAGCGGCCACGGUGGGGUAUAAAGACAGAGGAGUAUAGUACAGGAGUUGUCUGCAUCUUUAUUUUAGUUUUAAUAUUAGAUCUGACCACCAUAAUUUUAAUAUUAGAUCUCGGCCAGAUCCGGCUGAUGAAGAAGAUGAAGAAGAAGACGACAGAGCGCAUGAUGAGAUAAAUGGUGGUUGUUCAUGGAUCAAUUAUCACCUAUGCUGACAUAAUAUUCUUCUUCGGGUGAUAGAGAGAUGAAGAUGACGACGGAGCGCAACAGAUCUGGUCGCCAGAGCAUAGGAUGAGAUAAAGUAUUAAUUAAGGGUAAAAUAGUAAAAUUGCAUCCAUUUUAAUCUGUGUGAAAAUCUGUAGAACGUCAUAUAUAAUAGGAUGGAGGGAGUACUUGAUAAAUUUUAUACUUAAUAUUCGGCUC
rnacentral:lncRNA from 1 species